rnacentral:rRNA from 1 species
GAUGAACGCUGGCGGCGUGCCUAAUACAUGCAAGUCGAGCGAACAGACGAGAAGCUUGCUUCUCUGAUGUUAGCGGCGGACGGGUGAGUAACACGUGGAUAACCUACCUAUAAGACUGGGAUAACUUCGGGAAACCGGAGCUAAUACCGGAUGAUAUUUUGAACCGCAUGGUUCAAAAGUGAAAGACGGUCUUGCUGUCACUUAUAGAUGGAUCCGCGCUGCAUUAGCUAGUUGGUAAGGUAACGGCUUACCAAGGCAACGAUGCAUAGCCGACCUGAGAGGGUGAUCGGCCACACUGGAACUGAGACACGGUCCAGACUCCUACGGGAGGCAGCAGUAGGGAAUCUUCCGCAAUGGGCGAAAGCCUGACGGAGCAACGCCGCGUGAGUGAUGAAGGUCUUCGGAUCGUAAAACUCUGUUAUUAGGGAAGAACAUAUGUGUAAGUAACUGUGCACAUCCUGACGGUACCUAAUCAGAAAGCCACGGCUAACUACGUG